GACGAACGCUGGCGGCGUGCUUAACACAUGCAAGUCGAACGGAAAGGCCCUGCUUGCAGGGUACUCGAGUGGCGAACGGGUGAGUAACACGUGGGUGAUCUGCCCUGCACUUCGGGAUAAGCCAGGGAAACUGGGUCUAAUACCGGAUAGGAGCCAUAUUUAGUGUGAUGGUUGGAAAGUUUUUUCGGUGUAGGAUGAGCUCGCGGCCUAUCAGCUUGUUGGUGGGGUAAUGGCCUACCAAGGCGGCGACGGGUAGCCGGCCUGAGAGGGUGGACGGCCACCUUGGGACUGAGGUACGGCCCAGACGCCUACGGGAGGCAGCAGUGGGGAAUCUUGCGCAAUGGGCGCAAGCCUGAUGCAGCGGCGCCGCGUGGGUGAUGACGGCCUUCGGGUUGUAAACUACUGUCGCUGGGGACGAAGCUUUUUGGGCCGGUACCGAGAUAAGAGGCACCGCCAACCUACGG
rnacentral:rRNA from 1 species